rfam:Anopheles quadriannulatus strain QTAD4_A unplaced genomic scaffold supercont1.39, whole genome shotgun sequence.
GUCCUAGCUUCGGCUGGACAUAUACUAAAAUUGGAACGAUACAGAGAAGAUUAGCAUGACCUCUGCGCAAGGUCUGGACACCCAAUUCUGAGGGUCAAUGUCCUCCU